GUAUAGUGAUUGGAUUGAUGGUGUCAGUGCUCCACCCACAUAGGGGGGGAGCCAGGAUGUGAUGUAAUGCCAGGAAGAAGGUGUGUCUUGCUCUUUGCUGGUUCCAGCUUGCUGUUUGCAGCCACCAUGAAAGGCAGCCCAGCCAUGCCUGCCUGCCUGGGAGCCAACUGAGUGUGGACUGAAACCUCCAAAAACUGUAAGAAAUAAACCUUUCCUUUCCCAACUUUGGGCUUCAGGUAUUUUGUCUCAGGGAUGUGUAAAAAGUAACCGAGACAGAAUUUGGUACUGAGAGUGGGGUCGUUUGCUGUGACUAUACCUGGCCAUGUUUUUCAAGAGGCUUUAGAAAUGGCUUGUGGGCAGAGUUUGGAAAGGAUCAGACAUGUCGCCUGGAUGUGUAGAGCUGGAGAAGCUUAGGCUGUUCUGUAGAGGAGAUUUUGGUCAGAACUCAGGACACCAAAAGGCUGAUAGAAAACCUGAUGCUAAAGACCAGGCUUGGGAGGUUUCUGCUGGGACGAAGGACUGCAUUGGUCAUUGGACUCCACAUGAUGUGUGUUUUGGCUUGGCAGAAAGUUUGUCUGCACUUUGCUCCUGCCCAGAGACUUUGCCUGAGACUGAGACAAAGGGCAAUGGACUGAUUAAUCUUGAAGAAGAAAUUAAAAAGCAAUCAAAACUUGAGGCCAUGGCAUGGCUAUUGUUGGGGGCUUUUAGCCAGCUGUAUGUUUCAAAUCAAGAGCAAAGAGCCCAGCAGGAUAAUUUAAAAUGCUGUGAAUUUGGCCAGAAGGAAAAUUUCAGGAAGGCUGUGGAUUGUAAAGACAGAGUUGAGGUUUUGAUUGUUGAUGGGAAACAGAGAGAUAAGAAAGAUGGCCCCGGGGGAUCCCAAGAAGCAGGUCCCCAAAAUUGGAGCCUCAAGUCAAGGGUGAAAUAAUUUGCUCAUAGAAAAAAGCUACACAGUGCCAUGCUCCAGAAUGGCGACAGAGGCCAAGUGAGGUUCCAGAAUGGUGACAGAGGCCACAUGAGUUUCCAGAAUGGUGGCAACACAGAGAAGCUUUACAUCACAAUCAGGUAAACAGAGCCCUGUGAUCUAGGCAACUGACCCCUACAGCCAAGAGAGAGAAUAGCCUGGUUACUGCUUCAGCUAACAGCAAACCUUGGCGGCAUCCACAAGGUGCUGAUUUUAGGUGCAAGAAAAAUGCACGAAUUCUGAGGGUAAAAUGGCUUCCAACUUGAUUGCAAAGGGCCUGGGAGGCCAAGCAGUGUGCCCCUGAGAGGGCAAUUUGUGAAGAUGUAAGUGUGAAGCCAAAGAUGAAGUGGAGACCCCAGAAGUUUGGAAAAGCCAGGAAUGUGGACGAUCCAAGGAAAGCGCAAAAAGCAAGCAGAGAGGAUUUAAAAGAGAAGCUGCGGGACCUGAUACCCCUGGAAGUGCCAUGGAGGUGGAAUCACCCAAGCCUUUUGGAGCUUGCAACCAGUUUGCUUCAGAUGCUGAGCAUGGAACUCUAGGACUUAAUGUUUGCCCUGCUGGAUGUUGGACUUGCUUUGUUUGUUUCCAAUGCUUUAUAUUCCCCCUGUUUGUAACUUUUGGAAUGGUAAUGUUUAUCUUGUGCCUUUGCAUUUCAGAAAUGUUUAACCUUGUUUUGUUUGUACAGGGGCUUACAGUUAAGAGUUUGCCAUAGAUCUUGGAGGAAAUUUGGGACUUGGACUGUUCAGCAAUGCUGAAACUUAGGACUUUGGCAACUCUUGGAGGUGGACUAAAUGUCUUUUGUAUAAAGGGUGUACAUGAGUCCUGGGGGCCAGGGGUGGAAUGUCAUGGUUUAUGUCUGUGUCCCCCAGGCCUCAUGAGGUUGCAUUUUGCAUUUGUGAUUGGUUCAUUGUCUAGUGCUUGGAUUGAUGGUGUCAGUGCUCCACCCACUGAGGGGUGGAGCCAGGAUGUGAUGUAAUGGCAGGAAGGUGUGUCUUGCUCUUUGCUGGUUCCAGCUUGCUCUUUGCAGCCGCCAUGAAAGGUGGCCCAGUCAUGCCCACCUGCCUGGGAGCCAACUGAGUGUGAACUGAAACCUCCAAAAACUAAAGACUUCCCUUAUAGAGCUUGGAUUCACAUGUGUGAGAACUACAGUAAAAAGAAACCGCCAUGAAGUGCAGCCCAGCCAUGCUACCCUGCUUGGAGCCAACUGAGUAUGGCCUGAAACCUCCAAAAACUCCUUCGUGAACUGUGGCCCAGCCAUGCCACCCUGCCUUGGAGCCAACUGAAUAUGGACUGAAACCUCCAAAAACUUGGAGAGACUUCCGGGAAGGACAAGCUGGAGGCUCCGUAAACGCAUCCAUGGCCGUGGCACAUGUACCGCUUUAGCAGCAGAGCAGUUGGAGAAUUUUGCACUGUGCAACAACAGAAACUGAGGAUUGGAUUAUCCUUCUGGAAGUUCCUAGGAAUGUAGGAAGACCUGAAAGGUGUUAGAAAUAAGCCUCCCACUUAAGUCUUGAUAAAAACUAGUUUAAAAGUGAAACAUAAUCAGCUCAGUCAUUCAGCAACCCUUGGGGAAGUGGAGCUGAAUCUUAACUUGCAGGUUUGGAACAGUGUUCUGUGUGCAAACCCAAAUGCUAAAUUUUGAUCCAUUAUCAAGGAGCCAGAAAAAAAUUGCAGUAUGUGCCAUAAUAAAUUCAUCCCUUUAUGAUAUUCUUCAAUGAGUAUUGCCCUUUGUAGUGCCCUGCUUUAUAACACAUUAUGUAUAACUUUUAAAAAGCGAAAAUUAUCUAUCUAAAUAACAAAGUGCAUUUACUGAAAUACCAUGUACUGAACCCAAUCUGUGGAUGAGUUUUGGCCAUUUGGGCCUCAGGAUUCUGGGCUGAUUUCAUGGAGACACAGUGAAAAUGUGAGCAAAUCAAUUUGGUAAAACAAAGCAAAACAAAACACCUGAUAUGUCUAAGUCUAAAAUUAUUUAUAUCAUUUCAUUAAAUAAUUUGAUGUCUAGAAAAUUUCCUAAAGAAAUAAUCAGAACCAAAAUCAAAUUACCCAUAUACCUACUGCAGCGCUGUUUACAGUGGUAAAUUUGGAUGUAACCAAUACUCAAGAGAAGAAUGGUUAGAGAGCCUGUGAAAGCCAUGUCAUCUUGUACAUAAACAUCAAAAUUUUCCAUAGAUAGCACAAUAUCGUUUAGUAACACUUCUUGGUGGCAUGGAAAAUAAUAACAAUGUUAUGUUAACUGCAAAAUGACAAUUUAUAAAGUUUUGGCGAAAUGCAAAUUAUGUGUGUUCAGCAUGCAUGUAGAUAUGUGCAUGCUUGUAUGAAUACAUUA